UCUUCUACAAGCUAAGUGCCAAUUGAUCUG
rnacentral:piRNA from 1 species